UACAGAGGUGGCAAGCGUUGUUCGGAAUUACUGGGCGUAAAGGGCGCGUAGGCGGUCCUCUAAGUCCUGUGUGAAAUCCCUCGGCUCAACUGAGGAACUGCACGGGAUACUGGAAGACUUGAGUUCGGGAGAGGGAAGCGGAAUUCCGGGUGUAGCGGUGAAAUGCGUAGAUAUCCGGAGGAACACCGGUGGCGAAGGCGGCUUCCUGGACCGAUUACUGACGCUGAGGCGCGAAAGCGUGGGGAGCAAACAGG
rnacentral:rRNA from 1 species